rnacentral:sRNA from 1 species
UGAAAGACGCGCAUUUGUUAUCAUCCAUCUCAUCCCUGACAACAACAGAGAUGCGAAUUUUGGCCACAGUUAUGUGGCCUUUUUC